rnacentral:sRNA from 1 species
UCUUUACAGGUCUUGGGGAUAGCUGGGGAGCAGCACCUCCUUUGCCAAACCCCUUAGAAAGUGCAAUAAAAGAACUUGGUUCUCAUCUCUUGCAGACGCUGGAUGGUUUUGUUUUUGUUGUUGCUCCAGAUGGGAAAAUAAUGUAUAUUUCUGAAACUGCUUCCGUCCAUCUAGGAUUAUCACAAGUAGAGUUGACAGGCAACAGCAUUUAUGAAUACAUCGAUCCAACUGACCAUGACGAGAUGGCUGCUGUUUUGUCCCUUCAGACACCACCUGUUCAUCCUCAAAUUCCUGCACCACAGGGUGAAUUUGAGCUGGAGAGAUUGUUCUUUGUGAGGAUGAAAUGCGUUCUGGCCAAGCGAAACGCUGGUUUGACAUCGGGUGGAUACAAGGUCAUUCACUGUAGUGGGUAUUUGAAAGUGCAACGGUACAACGUGGAAGCGCCCCCAUAUGACAGUUGCUAUCAAAACUUGGGUUUGGUGGCAGUUGGGCAUUCCUUACCACCCAGCGCCAUCACCGAAAUAAAGAUGUACUCCAACAUGUUCAUGUUCCGAGCCAACAUGGAUCUCAGAUUGAUAUUUCUAGAUGCCAGAGUCACAAAUUUAACCGGUUACCAGCCUCAGGAUCUCAUAGAAAAAACCUUGUAUCACUACAUUCACGCCUCAGAUUGUGUACAAAUGCGAUAUUCCCACGAAACCCUACUUCAUAAAGGGCAAGUAACAACCAAAUACUAUCGAUUCCUAACCAAAGAUGGUGGUUGGAUAUGGAUGCAGAGCUAUGCCACCGUUGUCCAUAAUACGAGAUCUUCAAGACCUCACUGUAUAGUAAGCGUGAAUUAUGUUCUCAGCAAACAAGAAGGUGAAAGUUUGCAAUUGGAAAUGGAACAAAUUAGGAAGGCAGAACCUCUCUAUCCAGCUUCCGUUACCACUACUCAAAGCAGUCCUACGAAUGGCACAACAAAUGCAACACCUACGAGAGUGCGACAUCAGAAAAAUAAAAAUCGAAAAUCUCCUUACUUGUAUGACGAGCCUAACAUUGGAUGCUUGAGAGGUGAAUCAGUAGAUCCUUGUUUGUAUGAAAUGAAUUCAUUUCCGUUGCAUCAUGCUGCAUUUCCUCCAGUGACCCAUGCCCCUUAUCCAGAGAUGAAUACGCCAAAUCAACCCUCUCAGUAUUCUCACUCUCCCCAUGUAGCUAUGGGUCUUCUCGAUCCUGCCAAUGGUGGGUUUCUUCCCCACUAUACACACCAGAGACUAUCACCACUACCUCCUCAAGUGGAAUCUACUUACGAAAGAGACGAUCGAUAUUCAAUGCACAAUUAUGCAUCUUUUCCUCCUUGUGAGGCAUCUGUCAUAUCGUCCUCUCCAGAUAUUGAGCCAGACGCUCUUCAACCUCUUCCCUGUGUGAUUCCAUCUCAACAAGAUUUGUGCAACGCCAGUGUGGGAUACGUCCCUGGUGCCCCAGCAGAGCCCCAUGAAAUAAUUGUGCCCCAUGUAAUAUACAAUACAACUACGAAUAGCGUCGGACCUUUCAGCAGCCCUUCGGACUCCAUGCUUUCAGAAUCAGAUCUAGAAGGCUUUCAAAAUGGAAGGGCAGAUUCUCCUCGUUCUACUUCAUCCACAUCUUCACCCUUACAUCACCAUCAGCAGCAUAACAACAACAACAGCUCUUCGAAACCAUCAACAAGUGCCUUAGGACCUGUGCUUCGCAGCAGUGGUAAUAGUCACAGCAAUCAUUACAAAUCCGUCAUUACCCCAACCAAUCUGCAGAGUCCCACGGGACCCACUGACUUUCUCAACUCCCGGUUAACGAAACAGCACCAGUUCCAGCAACGAAACUUUGCCAGUUGCUCACCGACUGAUUCUUCUUACAACGAUUCCUGUUACUAUGAGGCGGCACGACAGCAGCAAUCACACCUCGAUUCCAGCAUCAAGUACGCGUUAUCCAAAUGUGACAGUUACGCCGAUAAAACGUAUUGUGUGCCAUCGAGCAACGGGACGAGUGACUAUAGUUGCAAUAAUGCACAUGACAGUGUCCAACCUCAGUAUACAAGCGUCAUCGUUGACGCGCAGCAGUACCAGAUGGCGAACGGUUUUGUCCACUGAUUUUGCAUUUUCUAGUCGUCCGAGAAGUGGUCGAAUUAAUGAACAUAUGUGCUAAACAAAUGGAAUUAUAAAUUGUACAUGCAUGAAAAUCAUUUCCCCUGUGUAGAAAAAAAAA